AUGUAGCUUCGCCCUUAGGAAAAUAUGUAGAUUCUUCCUAUAUAAAGAGUUCUCAUGGAGAGAUGUUUCAUUAAGAGAAACACAUUGAAAGGUUUAGUUUUGAGAGAGUUUCUAAAUCUAAUAAGAAGAGAAGUUCUUAUAAUCUUUGUGUUUGAUGAAACUUUAAAUGAAUGUAGUUUAUUGUGUCUCAGCCUUUGCGUAUGAUGGUUGUUCUUUCUCAGCCUUUGAUUGAAUGUAAUUUGAGCAUGUAAUGAAUGUAAUUUGUUCUGUCUCAGCCUUUGUGUAUGAUGGUUGUUCUGUCUCAGCAUCAAAUUUAAAAAACCUUUGAUUGAAUGUAAUGAACUGUGUGCGUACGAUGCUUGUUCUGUCUCAGCCUUUUGUGUAUGAUGGUUGUUCUAUCUCAGCCUCAGAUUUUAAAAAAACCUUUGAUUGAAGUUGGUCUUAAG
rnacentral:lncRNA from 1 species